rnacentral:lncRNA from 1 species
UGUCCAGUGCAGGGAUAGCAGCGGAGAGAGAGAGAGAUAAAGACGGAGACAGAGACAGAAUGCCAGCAGAGUGACAGCCAGCAGUCAGUAACAGGACAGAGAGAGAAGAGAGAGGACCUUGAGACUACGACUAACUCGUGAAGAAGAGUAUAGAUGCUGAGUGUGUGAUAAAAAGCGGGGAGCAUAAGACACCAGUGGACAUCAUCUUUCCAGACCAGGUUCUUCUGAGAUUGCAGAUACAACAAGGUUCAGAGUAAAGAAAGAUCCACACCCUUCUGACUCCACCUCACAUCCUGACCAUAACAGGCAGCACAGAAGUCCCCU